UUAAGCGACUAAGCGUACACGGUGGAUGCCCUGGCAGUCAGAGGCGAUGAAGGACGUGCUAAUCUGCGAAAAGCGUCGGUAAGGUGAUAUGAACCGUUAUAACCGGCGAUGUCCGAAUGGGGAAACCCAGUGUGAUUCGUCACACUAUCGUUAACUGAAUACAUAGGUUAACGAGGCGAACCGGGGGAACUGAAACAUCUAAGUACCCCGAGGAAAAGAAAUCAACCGAGAUUCCCCCAGUAGCGGCGAGCGAACGGGGAGCAGCCCAGAGUCUGAAUCAGCUUGUGUGUUAGUGGAACGGUCUGGAAAGUCCGACGGUACAGGGUGAUAGUCCCGUACACCAAAAUGCACAGGCUGUGAACUCGAAGAGUAGGGCGGGACACGUGGUAUCCUGUCUGAAUAUGGGGGGACCAUCCUCCAAGGCUAAAUACUCCUGACUGACCGAUAGUGAACCAGUACCGUGAGGGAAAGGCGAAAAGAACCCCGGCGAGGGGAGUGAAAAAGAACCUGAAACCGUGUACGUACAAGCAGUGGGAGCACCUUCGGGUGUGACUGCGUACCUUUUGUAUAAUGGGUCAGCGACUUAUAUUCUGUAGCAAGGUUAACCGUAUAGGGGAGCCGCAGGGAAACCGAGUCUUAACUGGGCGUUAAGUUGCAGGGUAUAGACCCGAAACCCGGUGAUCUAGCCAUGGGCAGGUUGAAGGUUGGGUAACACUAACUGGAGGACCGAACCGACUAAUGUUGAAAAAUUAGCGGAUGACUUGUGGCUGGGGGUGAAAGGCCAAUCAAACCGGGAGAUAGCUGGUUCUCCCCGAAAGCUAUUUAGGUAGCGCCUCGUGAACUCAUCUUCGGGGGUAGAGCACUGUUUCGGCUAGGGGGUCAUCCCGACUUACCAACCCGAUGCAAACUACGAAUACCGAAGAAUGUUAUCACGGGAGACACACGGCGGGUGCUAACGUCCGUCGUGAAGAGGGAAACAACCCAGACCGCCAGCUAAGGUCCCAAAGUCAUGGUUAAGUGGGAAACGAUGUGGGAAGGCACAGACAGCCAGGAUGUUGGCUUAGAAGCAGCCAUCAUUUAAAGAAAGCGUAAUAGCUCACUGGUCGAGUCGGCCUGCGCGGAAGAUGUAACGGGGCUAAACCAUGCACCGAAGCUGCGGCAGCGACACUAUGUGUUGUUGGGUAGGGGAGCGUUCUGUAAGCCUGCGAAGGUGUGCUGUGAGGCAUGCUGGAGGUAUCAGAAGUGCGAAUGCUGACAUAAGUAACGAUAAAGCGGGUGAAAAGCCCGCUCGCCGGAAGACCAAGGGUUCCUGUCCAACGUUAAUCGGGGCAGGGUGAGUCGACCCCUAAGGCGAGGCCGAAAGGCGUAGUCGAUGGGAAACAGGUUAAUAUUCCUGUACUUGGUGUUACUGCGAAGGGGGGACGGAGAAGGCUAUGUUAGCCGGGCGACGGUUGUCCCGGUUUAAGCAUGUAGGCUGAUUAUCCAGGCAAAUCCGGAUAAUCAAGGCUGAGGUGUGAUGACGAGGCACUACGGUGCUGAAGUAACAAAUGCCCUGCUUCCAGGAAAAGCCUCUAAGCAUCAGGUAACAUCAAAUCGUACCCCAAACCGACACAGGUGGUCAGGUAGAGAAUACCAAGGCGCUUGAGAGAACUCGGGUGAAGGAACUAGGCAAAAUGGUGCCGUAACUUCGGGAGAAGGCACGCUGGUGUGUAGGUGAAGUCCCUGCGGAUGGAGCUGAGACCAGUCGAAGAUACCAGCUGGCUGCAACUGUUUAUUAAAAACACAGCACUGUGCAAACACGAAAGUGGACGUAUACGGUGUGACGCCUGCCCGGUGCCGGAAGGUUAAUUGAUGGGGUUAUCCGUAAGGAGAAGCUCUUGAUCGAAGCCCCGGUAAACGGCGGCCGUAACUAUAACGGUCCUAAGGUAGCGAAAUUCCUUGUCGGGUAAGUUCCGACCUGCACGAAUGGCGUAAUGAUGGCCAGGCUGUCUCCACCCGAGACUCAGUGAAAUUGAACUCGCUGUGAAGAUGCAGUGUACCCGCGGCAAGACGGAAAGACCCCGUGAACCUUUACUAUAGCUUGACACUGAACAUUGAGCCUUGAUGUGUAGGAUAGGUGGGAGGCUUUGAAGCGUGGACGCCAGUCUGCGUGGAGCCAACCUUGAAAUACCACCCUUUAAUGUUUGAUGUUCUAACGUUGGCCCCUGACCGGGGUUGCGGACAGUGUCUGGUGGGUAGUUUGACUGGGGCGGUCUCCUCCCAAAGCGUAACGGAGGAGCACGAAGGUUAGCUAAUCCUGGUCGGACAUCAGGAGGUUAGUGCAAUGGCAUAAGCUAGCUUGACUGCGAGCGUGACGGCGCGAGCAGGUGCGAAAGCAGGUCAUAGUGAUCCGGUGGUUCUGAAUGGAAGGGCCAUCGCUCAACGGAUAAAAGGUACUCCGGGGAUAACAGGCUGAUACCGCCCAAGAGUUCAUAUCGACGGCGGUGUUUGGCACCUCGAUGUCGGCUCAUCACAUCCUGGGGCUGAAGUAGGUCCCAAGGGUAUGGCUGUUCGCCAUUUAAAGUGGUACGCGAGCUGGGUUUAGAACGUCGUGAGACAGUUCGGUCCCUAUCUGCCGUGGGCGCUGGAGAAUUGAGGGGGGCUGCUCCUAGUACGAGAGGACCGGAGUGGACGCAUCACUGGUGUUCGGGUUGUCAUGCCAAUGGCACUGCCCGGUAGCUAAAUGCGGAAGAGAUAAGUGCUGAAAGCAUCUAAGCACGAAACUUGCCCCGAGAUGAGUUCUCCCUGAGACUAUAAGUCUCCUGAA
rnacentral:rRNA from 1 species